UACGUAGGUGGCGAGCGUUGUUCGGAAUUAUUGGGCGUAAAGGGUCCGUAGGUGGCUGAUUAAGUUUGAUGUGAAAUCCCAGAGCUCAACUCUGGAACUGCAUUGAAGACUGAUUGGCUGGAGUAUUGGAGAGGAGAUUGGAAUUUCAGGUGUAGCGGUGGAAUGCGUAGAUAUCUGGAAGAACACCGAGAGCGUAGGCAGAUCUCUGGACAAUGACUGACACUGAGGGACGAAAGCAUGGGUAGCAAAC
rnacentral:rRNA from 1 species